UACGGAGGGUGCAAGCGUUAUCCGGAAUUAUUGGGCGUAAAGCGUCCGUAGGCGGUUUGUUAAGUCGGAUGUUAAAUCUGUUGGCUCAACCAACAGGUCGUAUCCGAAACUGGCAAACUUGAGAUUUGCAGAGGUGCAUAGAAUUCCACAUGUAGGGGUAAAAUCCGUUGAUAUGUGGAGGAAUACCAAAAGCGAAGGCAGUGCACUGGGCAAUUUCUGACGCUCAUGGACGAAAGCGUGGGGAGCAAACAGG
rnacentral:misc_RNA from 1 species